GAUGAACGCUGGCGGCGUGCCUAAUACAUGCAAGUCGAGCGAACAGACGAGGAGCUUGCUCCUCUGACGUUAGCGGCGGACGGGUGAGUAACACGUGGAUAACCUACCUAUAAGACUGGGAUAACUUCGGGAAACCGGAGCUAGUACCGUAUAAUAUAUUGAACCGCAUGGUUCAAUAGUGAAAGACGGUUUUGCUGUCACUUAUAGAUGGAUCCGCGCCGCAUUAGCUAGUUGGUAAGGUAACGGCUUACCAAGGCAACGAUGCGUAGCCGACCUGAGAGGGUGAUCGGCCACACUGGAACUGAGACACGGUCCAGACUCCUACGGGAGGCAGCAGUAGGGAAUCUUCCGCAAUGGGCGAAAGCCUGACGGAGCAACGCCGCGUGAGUGAUGAAGGUCUUCGGAUCGUAAAACUCUGUUAUUAGGGAAGAACAAAUGUGUAAGUAACUAUGCACGUCUUGACGGUACCUAAUCAGAAAGCCACGGCUAACUACGUG
rnacentral:rRNA from 1 species